GAUGAACGCUGGCGGCGUGCCUAAUACAUGCAAGUCGAGCGAACGGACGAGAAGCUUGCUUCUCUGAUGUUAGCGGCGGACGGGUGAGUAACACGUGGAUAACCUACCUAUAAGACUGGGAUAACUUCGGGAAACCGUAGCUAAUACCGGAUAAUAUUUUGAACCGCAUGGUUCAAAAGUGAAAGACGGUCUUGCUGUCACUUAUAGAUGGAUCCGCGCUGCAUUAGCUAGUUGGUAAGGUAACGGCCUACCAAGGCAACGAUGCAUAGCCGACCUGAGAGGGUGAUCGGCCACACUGGAACUGAGAAACGGGCCAGACUCCUACGGGAGGCCGCCGUAGGGAAUCUUUCGCAAUGGGCGGAAGCCUGACGGAGCCACGCCGCGUGGGUGAAGAAGGUCUUCGGUUCGUAAAACCCUGUUAUUAGGGAAGAACAUAUGUGUAAGUAACUGUGCACAUCUUGACGGUACCUAAUCAGAAAGCCACGGCUAACUACGUG
rnacentral:rRNA from 1 species